UGCGCAGGUGGGGAUGUAAGUCAGUGGUGAAAUGUAGCCGCUCAACGGUAAAAUUGCCAUUGAUACUGCAUCUCUUGAGUAUGGUUGAGGUAGGCGGAAUGUGUUGUGUAGCGGUGAAAUGCAUAGAUAUGACACAGAACACCGAUUGCGAAGGCAGCUUACUAAGCCAUUACUGACGCUGAGGCACGAAAGCGUGGGUAGCGAACAGGAUUAGAUACCCUGGUAGUCC
rnacentral:rRNA from 1 species